rnacentral:rRNA from 1 species
UACGUAGGGGCCGAGCGUUGUCCGGAGUUAUUGGGCGUAAAGCGCGCGUAGGCGGCUUCGCGCGUCCGACGUGAAAGCCCCCGGCUUAACCGGGGAGGGUCGUUGGGUACGGCGGAGCUUGAGGGCGGGAGAGGGUGGUGGAAUUCCCGGUGUAGUGGUGAAAUGCGUAGAGAUCGGGAGGAACACCUGUGGCGAAGGCGGCCACCUGGGCCGACCCUGACGCUGAGGCGCGAAGGCGUGGGGAGCGAACGGG